GGCUCAGGACGAACGCUGGCGGCGUGCUUAACACAUGCAAGUCGAACGGUAAGGCCCCUUCGGGGGUACACGAGUGGCGAACGGGUGAGUAACACGUGAGCAACCUGCCCUUGACUCUGGAAUAACAGUUGGAAACAGCUGCUAAUACUGGAUAUUCAUCGUCUCCUUCCUGGGGGGUGGUGGAAAGCUCCGGCGGUCAGGGAUGGGCUCGCGGCCUAUCAGCUUGUUGGUGAGGUAAUGGCUCACCAAGGCUUCGACGGGUAGCCGGCCUGAGAGGGCGACCGGCCACACUGGGACUGAGAUACGGCCCAGACUCCUACGGGAGGCAGCAGUGGGGAAUAUUGCACAAUGGGCGCAAGCCUGAUGCAGCAACGCCGCGUGCGGGAUGACGGCCUUCGGGUUGUAAACCGCUUUCAGUAGGGACGAAGGG
rnacentral:rRNA from 1 species